CUCAACGCCUCUACAAAACAAAUGACAGCAACAAAUGUCGACACAGAAUUAGACGGAAAAUAAGGCAAGAAAAGACCACUUUGCAGACCAUGCUAGCCAAGUACAACAGCCUUGUAACACCCGAGCAAGCAGUUUGCAUGGAUCAUAUUCUGGACACAGAACAUCCCUGGCCUUGGCAAAUAACACAAGAAGGCGCUGUUGAUUUCAGCACAAAAAAGGAAGUCUUUGAUAGGGUCAUGGCAGUUCGAAGGCUUCAAGAGGAGAAGAAGAUCCUUGUCAAAGAGAUCAAGCAGCACUGGGAUUCUCUGAAGUCCCAUGC